CACGUAGGGGACGAGCGUUGUCCGGAAUCAUUGGGCGUAAAGCGCGCGUAGGCGGCCCGGAAAGUCGGAUGUGAAAUCCCGGGGCUCAACCCCGGGCCUGCAUCCGAUACUCCCGGGCUGGAGGCAGGUAGGGGAGAUCGGAAUUCCUGGUGUAGCGGUGAAAUGCGCAGAUAUCAGGAGGAACACCUAUGGCGAAGGCAGCACUCUGGGACGGUACUGACGCUGAGACGCGAAAGCGUGGGGAGCGAACAGG
rnacentral:rRNA from 1 species